UACGGAGGGUGCAAGCGUUAAUCGGAAUUACUGGGCGUAAAGCGCACGUAGGUGGUUUGUUAAGCUAGCUGUGAAAUCCCCGGGCUCAACCUGGGCACUGCAGUUAGAACUGGCAAGCUAGAGUAGGGUAGAGGGGUGUGGAAUUCCAGGUGUAGCGGUGAAAUGCGUAGAUAUCUGGAGGAACAUCAGUGGCGAAGGCGACACCCUGGACUCAUACUGACACUGAGGUGCGAAAGCGCGGGGAGCAAACAGG
rnacentral:rRNA from 1 species